rnacentral:rRNA from 1 species
CCUACGGGGGGCAGCAGUAGGGAAUAUUGCUCAAUGGGGGAAACCCUGAAGCAGCAACGCCGCGUGGAGGAUGAAGGUUUUAGGAUUGUAAACUCCUUUUGUUAGAGAAGAUUAUGACGGUAGCUAACGAAUAAGCACCGGCUAACCCCGUGCCAGCAGCCGCGGUAAUACGGAGGGUGCAAGCGUUACUCGGAAUCACUGGUCGUAAAGAGUGCGUAGGCGGGGUAAUAAGUCAGAUGUGAAAUCCUGUAGCUUAACUACAGAACUGCAUGUGAAACUGUUACUCUGGAGUGUGGGCGAGGUAGGUUGAUUUCUUGGUGUAGCGGUAAAAUCCGUCGAGAUCCAGACGCAUACUCCUUGCGACGUCGCCCUCCUGGCACAUUCCUGCCGCUGCUCC